rnacentral:rRNA from 1 species
AGUGAACGCUGGCGGCAGGCCUAAUACAUGCAAGUCGAACGGCAGCACAGCAGAGCUUGCUCUGUGGGUGGCGAGUGGCGGACGGGUGAGGAAUACAUGGGAAUCUGCCCAGUCGUGGGGGAUAACGUAUGGAAACGUACGCUAAUACCGCAUGCGCCCUACGGGGGAAAGCCGGGGACCGCAAGGCCUGGCGCGAUUGGAUGAGCCCAUGUUCGAUUAGCUAGUUGGCGGGGUAAAGGCCCACCAAGGCGACGAUCGAUAGCUGGUCUGAGAGGAUGAUCAGCCACACUGGAACUGAGACACGGUCCAGACUCCUACGGGAGGCAGCAGUAGGGAAUAUUGGACAAUGGGGGCAACCCUGAUCCAGCCAUGCCGCGUGAGUGAAGAAGGCCCUCGGGUUGUAAAGCUCUUUUGUCCGGAAAGAAAGCAAUCGGUUAAUACCCGGUUGUUCUGACGGUACCGGAAGAAUAAGCACCGGCUAACUUCGUGCCAGCAGCC